rnacentral:rRNA from 1 species
AGAGUUUGAUCAUGGCUCAGAUUGAACGCUGGCGGCAGGCCUAACACAUGCAAGUCGAGCGGUAGCACAGAGAGCUUGCUCUCGGGUGACGAGCGGCGGACGGGUGAGUAAUGUCUGGGAAACUGCCUGAUGGAGGGGGAUAACUACUGGAAACGGUAGCUAAUACCGCAUAAUGUCGCAAGACCAAAGUGGGGGACCUUCGGGCCUCAUGCCAUCAGAUGUGCCCAGAUGGGAUUAGCUAGUAGGUGGGGUAACGGCUCACCUAGGCGACGAUCCCUAGCUGGUCUGAGAGGAUGACCAGCCACACUGGAACUGAGACACGGUCCAGACUCCUACGGGAGGCAGCAGUGGGGAAUAUUGCACAAUGGGCGCAAGCCUGAUGCAGCCAUGCCGCGUGUGUGAAGAAGGCCUUCGGGUUGUAAAGCACUUUCAGCGGGGAGGAAGGCGUUAAGGUUAAUAACCUUGGCGAUUGACGUUACCCGCAGAAGAAGCACCGGCUAACUCCGUGCCAGCAGCCGCGGUAAUACGGAGGGUGCAAGCGUUAAUCGGAAUUACUGGGCGUAAAGCGCACGCAGGCGGUCUGUCAAGUCGGAUGUGAAAUCCCCGGGCUCAACCUGGGAACUGCAUUCGAAACUGGCAGGCUAGAGUCUUGUAGAGGGGGGUAGAAUUCCAGGUGUAGCGGUGAAAUGCGUAGAGAUCUGGAGGAAUACCGGUGGCGAAGGCGGCCCCCUGGACAAAGACUGACGCUCAGGUGCGAAAGCGUGGGGAGCAAACAGGAUUAGAUACCCUGGUAGUCCACGCCGUAAACGAUGUCGAUUUGGAGGUUGUGCCCUUGAGGCGUGGCUUCCGGAGCUAACGCGUUAAAUCGACCGCCUGGGGAGUACGGCCGCAAGGUUAAAACUCAAAUGAAUUGACGGGGGCCCGCACAAGCGGUGGAGCAUGUGGUUUAAUUCGAUGCAACGCGAAGAACCUUACCUGGUCUUGACAUCCACAGAACUUNUUGGUGCCUUCGGGAACUGUGAGACAGGUGCUGCAUGGCUGUCGUCAGCUCGUGUUGUGAAAUGUUGGGUUAAGUCCCGCAACGAGCGCAACCCUUAUCCUUUGUUGCCAGCGGUUAGGCCGGGAACUCAAAGGAGACUGCCAGUGAUAAACUGGAGGAAGGUGGGGAUGACGUCAAGUCAUCAUGGCCCUUACGACCAGGGCUACACACGUGCUACAAUGGCAUAUACAAAGAGAAGCGACCUCGCGAGAGCAAGCGGACCUCAUAAAGUAUGUCGUAGUCCGGAUUGGAGUCUGCAACUCGACUCCAUGAAGUCGGAAUCGCUAGUAAUCGUAGAUCAGAAUGCUACGGUGAAUACGUUCCCGGGCCUUGUACACACCGCCCGUCACACCAUGGGAGUGGGUUGCAAAAGAAGUAGGUAGCUUAACCUUCGGGAGGGCGCUUACCACUUUGUGAUUCAUGACUGGGGUGAAGUCGUAACAAGGUAACCGUAGGGGAACCUGCGGUUG